rnacentral:rRNA from 1 species
CUAUACAUGCAGUCGAGCGAAUGGAUURAGAGCUUGCUCUYAWGAAGUUAGCGGCGGACGGGUGAGUAACACGUGGGUAACCUGCCCAUAAGACUGGGAUAACUCCGGGAAACCGGGGCUAAUACCGGAUAACAUUUUGAACUGCAUGGUUCGAAAUUGAAAGGCGGCUUCGGCUGUCACUUAUGGAUGGACCCGCGUCGCAUUAGCUAGUUGGUGAGGUAACGGCUCACCAAGGCAACGAUGCGUAGCCGACCUGAGAGGGUGAUCGGCCACACUGGGACUGAGACACGGCCCAGACUCCUACGGGAGGCAGCAGUAGGGAAUCUUCCGCAAUGGACGAAAGUCUGACGGAGCAACGCCGCGUGAGUGAUGAAGGCUUUCGGGUCGUAAAACUCUGUUGUUAGGGAAGAACAAGUGCUAGUUGAAUAAGCUGGCACCUUGACGGUACCUAACCAGAAAGCCACGGCUAACUACGUGCCAGCAGCCGCGGUAAUACGUAGGUGGCAAGCGUUAUCCGGAAUUAUUGGGCGUAAAGCGCGCGCAGGUGGUUUCUUAAGUCUGAUGUGAAAGCCCACGGCUCAACCGUGGAGGGUCAUUGGAAACUGGGAGACUUGAGUGCAGAAGAGGAAAGUGGAAUUCCAUGUGUA